GACGAACGCUGGCGGCGUGCUUAACACAUGCAAGUCGAACGGAAAGGCCCUGCUUUUGUGGGGUGCUCGAGUGGCGAACGGGUGAGUAACACGUGAGUAACCUGCCCUUGACUUUGGGAUAACUUCAGGAAACUGGGGCUAAUACCGGAUAGGAGCUCCUGCUGCAUGGUGGGGGUUGGAAAGUUUCGGCGGUUGGGGAUGGACUCGCGGCUUAUCAGCUUGUUGGUGGGGUAGUGGCUUACCAAGGCUUUGACGGGUAGCCGGCCUGAGAGGGUGACCGGCCACAUUGGGACUGAGAUGCGGCCCAGCCUCCUACGGGAGGCAGCAGUGGGGAAUAUUGCACUAUGGGCGGAAGCCUGAUGCAGCAACGCCGCGUGCGGGAUGACGGCCUUCGGGUUGUAAACCGCUUUCGCCUGUGACGAAGCGUGAGUGACGGUAAUGGGUAAAGAAGCACCGGCUAACUACGUG
rnacentral:rRNA from 1 species